UUGACAACCAUUACAAUUGACAUCAUACAUUGGAGAAAGUAGAUAUGGCCUAGGUAGUCUUCUUCACUUAAGAUGUAGUUGUAAGAAAAUUAACUAUGUUCCCACAGGAAAACGACAUUCAAAAAACAUUUGGGAUGUAAACUCAAAAUUAGGUGCAGCAAUGAUAUUCUGUGGUAUUGGUGAAAGUGUAGUCAAUAAUUUAUUGGCUGCAUUGAACCUCCCGAACAUAUCCCCCACCACCCUAAAAAGGAGGGAACGAGAGGCAGGUUCUGCAUUUGAAGCAGUUGCUACUGAGACGUGUAGUGAUGCAAUUGCAGCUGAAAGUAGAAGUUGUCAAAGUGAAGAAGACCAGGCGGUUUCCUUUGAUGCUGGCUGGCA